AGCAGCCGCGGUAAUUCCAGCUCCAAUAGCGUAUAUUAAAGUUGUUGCAGUUAAAAAGCUCGUAGUUGAAUUUCGGGGUUAGUAGGUUGGUCAUGCCUCUGGUAUGUACUGGUCUCACUGAUUCCUCCUUCCUGAUGAACCGUAAUGCCAUUAAUUUGGUGUUGCGGGGAAUUUGGACUGUUACUUUAGAAAAAAUUAGAGUGUUUAAAGCAAGCUAACGCUUGAAUACAUUAGCAUGGAAUAAUGAAAUAGGACGUUCGAUCCUAUUUUGUUGGUUUCUAGGAUUGACGUAAUGAUUAAUAGGGAUAGUUGGGGGCAUUAGUAUUCAAUUGUCAGAGGUGAAAUUCUUGGAUUUAUUGAAGACUAACUACUGCGAAAGCAUUUGCCAAGGAUGUUUUCAUUAAUCAAGAACGAAAGUUAGGGGAUCGAAGACGAUCAGAUACCGUCGUAGUCUUAACCAUAAACUAUGCC
rnacentral:rRNA from 1 species